rnacentral:rRNA from 1 species
UACAGAGGGGGCAAGCGUUGUUCGGAAUUACUGGGCGUAAAGGGCGCGUAGGCGGCCUGCUAAGUCGAACGUGAAUUCCCUGGGCUCAACCCAGGAACUGCGUCCGAUACUGGUUGGCUUGAAUCCGGGAGAGGGAUGUGGAAUUCCAGGUGUAGCGGUGAAAUGCGUAGAUAUCUGGAGGAACACCGGUGGCGAAGGCGACAUCCUGGACCGGUAUUGACGCUGAGGCGCGAAAGCCAGGGGAGCAAACGGG